UACGAAGGGGGCUAGCGUUGCUCGGAUUGACUGGGCGUAAAGGGCGCGUAGGCGGUUCGUACAGUCAGACGUGAAAUUCCUGGGCUCAACCUGGGGGCUGCGUUUUGAUACGUGCGGACUUGAGUGCGGAAGAGGGUCGUGGAAUUCCCAGUGUAGAGGUGAAAUUCGUAGAUAUUGGGAAGAACACCGGUGGCGAAGGCGGCGACCUGGUCCGAUACUGACGCUGAGGCGCGAAAAGCGUGGGUAGCAAACAGG
rnacentral:rRNA from 1 species